UCUUGUGUAGUUUAUAAAACAUUUUAUUUUCAUUAAAAAAAAAGCUUUAAACUUGCUCACAAGUU
rnacentral:tRNA from 1 species